AUGGCUGCUCCCAGGGUUUACAGCUCUCGGUGUCUCCAGUGAUUUCUUCCUAAAGCUAUUGCCACCAAGGAUAUAACAACAUGGCGAAGAGGAUGGGAUCUCUGUGCUGCCCCAGCAACAGAAGGAAGUAGAAGUUAAGGAGAGGAAACUGAUGCAAUGAUGCCAAUACCCUGAACAUUGCCCAGGACUGAUCGGAUUUAGAAUCCACAUCAUCCCUCCACCAGCAUUGGAUGCUACACCACGGUCUCACCCAGACCAGAUUUUCCAC